rnacentral:rRNA from 1 species
UACGAAGGGUGCAAGCGUUACUCGGAAUUACUGGGCGUAAAGCGUGCGUAGGCGGUUUGUUAAGUCUGUCGUGAAAGCCCCGGGCUCAACCUGGGAAUGGCGGUGGAUACUGGCAGGCUAGAGUACGGUAGAGGAUGGUGGAAUUCCCGGUGUAGCAGUGAAAUGCGUAGAGAUCGGGAGGAACAUCUAUGGCGAAGGCAGAUCUCUGGGCCGUAACUGACGCUGAGGAGCGAAAGCAUGGGGAGCGAACAGG